rnacentral:rRNA from 1 species
CUACGUGCCAGCAGCCGCGGUAAUACGGAAGGUUCAGGCGUUAUCCGGAUUUAUUGGGUUUAAAGGGAGCGUAGGCUGGAGAUUAAGUGUGUUGUGAAAUGUAGACGCUCAACGUCUGACUUGCAGCGCAUACUGGUUUCCUUGAGUACGCACAACGUUGGCGGAAUUCGUCGUGUAGCGGUGAAAUGCUUAGAUAUGACGAAGAACUCCGAUUGCGAAGGCAGCUGACGGGAGCGCAACUGACGCUUAAGCUCGAAGGUGCGGGUAUCAAACAGGAUUAGAUACCCUGGUAGUCCGCACAGUAAACGAUGGAUGCCCGCUGUUGGUACCUGGUAUCAGCGGCUAAGCGAAAGCAUUAAGCAUCCCACCUGGGGAGUACGCCGGCAACGGUGAAACUCAAAGGAAUUGACGGGGGCCCGCACAAGCGGAGGAACAUGUGGUUUAAUUCGAUGAUACGCGAGGAACCUUACCCGGGCU